GCAGGGGUGAGGGCCUGGGUCCGCACUGUGCUGCCCACAUCUACUGUGCCCAGGAGCACCCCAGGCCCCCGCCCAGGUGCAGGCUUUGUCGCAGGAGGCAUGUGGGGCCUGAGGUCCUGCGUUGCAGGCAAGCUCUCUAGUGACGUAAGACAUGCUUGGCAGGACAGCUCGGGAGAGGCCUCUCUGUGCCUUCAUCCCUGGCCAGCUGGUCUUCCUGAAGGGACCACAUGCUCCAAGGGCGGUGGUGAAUAAAUAUACCCUAAAAGGUCGAGAGACAACCUCCACGUGCACAGGCUUUAACUUGGAUUUACUCAAAUAGGGAAGCCUGUUUCUUCUCUAGCAAAGGACAGAGCCACAGUGCAAACAGCCUAAAAGAUAAAUGAGCAUGGACACUCUCAACAGCAAGAAGAGGACAGGCAGGUGGGGGAGAGGGAGAGCAGCAGUGCGUCUGGUGGACCUGCAUGACUCCAACCAGUAUCACCAAAAGCACUUCCAGACUAAUCCAUAGGUGAGCAAAUCUGAAGAAUCUAUCAUCUAUCUCCCCAAAAGAGAGAAAAACUAACAUUAGUUGGGCACAUACUAUAAGCUGUCAUCCUCCAUUGACUCAUUUCAUACCUACGAGCACCCUCUGAGAUGCAUGCUUGAAUCUCCAUCGUACAGACUGGGAGAUGGAAGUUCAGAGAGGUUAAGUGACUUGCCCAAGGUCACAGAGCCCACAAGUGGCAGGAUUGACAGUUCUGUUUCUUUCUUUCUAUUACAUCACAGGUUUUGAGAGCCGACCAGCUUCCAGGGAUCAUCUCCCACCUGGAAUGAAGUUAAGAGAACAGGCAGGAAAGGGAAGACAGGGUGAACUGGCCAAGAAAUCCCUAAUUGUGUAAAUUACCAGACAAAGCUCUUCAGCCCCUUCCUCAUGACUCAGACAUGGAGACAAAGGACAAAUGAAAGGGAGGAAAUGUCUUUGCCUCCCUGGAAAGGAAGGAGACCCACCAAGCAGAAAGAGAGGGAGGAGGGAAGGGACAGCUCAGUGGAGCUGCAGUGACCAAGCGGAGUACAG
rnacentral:lncRNA from 10 species